UGGUGGGCUGGCCCUCACGGUCUUCACUGUCCCCGGCCCCUCAGAGAGGCAGCUGGUGGCUACAAGUCCAAUCUGUGAAGGAGGACAGGGUGCUUGGGGAGCCAGCUUGUGUUGUGUGGUGGUCUGGGGUUCAAGAGGUGAGAGGAUAUGAAAUCAAACCCCAUGCUGAAGGCAGAAGGGUUAAUCCCUCUUCUCACACACACAGAAACACGUACUUCCCACAUAGACUCAGGUCUUGCUGAGGCUACCCACUGUUGGGGAGGUGCAUUUGGCUUUGGAAAUCUCAAAGAGGGCCAGAGUGGGCUUCAGAUGAGAGAAGAGGGUGCUGCUGUUUCAGGCUGGCAAAGGAGUUUUGCCAUUUUCCUUCCAGGUCAGUUGAUUUCAAUGUUACAUACACUAUACCACAGGAGUUUGUUCAGUCUUACCAAGGAAGGGAAGGAAGCAGGUGUUCAAAGCCAAAACCAUAGUCAGGAAAAGGGACUGGACAUAUAUGGACAUGUGAGAGGAGACAUGGCAGCCUGGUAGAAAGAGUUGGGAUUUUACCUUUAGGUGAAUUCUGGAUCUGUGACCUCUUGUAACCUUGGUAAGCCAUCCAACUCACUUGAGCUUCCUUCUCUGAAAAAUGAUAGCUAACAAUGCUUCUCUUGCAAGUUCCUAUGAAUAGAAUACUGAGUGCAAAUCCAGUAUAAAUGAGACCAACCUGUCAAUAAAUGUGUGUUUGGAUCAGAAUUUGCAUUAAAGUUGGUGCGGUAAUAGUAAUUGGGUUCUUUUUCUAUGAAGUCUCCCCCCUCCCACCGCCCCAGUCCCCAUGGUCUUACAUGUUAGAGUCAAAUGGGGUUGGAGGUAGGCGACAAGAAGAGAGGAAGUGGAAAUCGGUGAUUGGUUAUUAAUUUUCGGCUUCUUGAAGUUCCACCACUUAGUUGAGUUUCUUGGAACCAAAACUGUGUUUUCUUGUUUUUGCCUCUUGUAUACCUGGCCUGGAACUGCCAAUGGGUAAUAUUUACUGAAGUACAGAGUGAAUGCAUGAACAAACCUUAUUCAGUCUGCCCUCCUUGUUGCUAAUACUUACUUGGGUAUCAUUAGGCUCUGUGACAUGUUUGCAGAAACAAAACUAAUUGUAGUUUAAUGUUGGAGGAUCUAAAAAUUGAAGUUGUGAAGUAUGUAACAUUAAGAACAAGAACUCUAAGGCUUGGAUGCCAGGCUUAGAAUCCCAACUGGCCAUGACCUUAGGCCACACAUUUAACCUCUGUGUGCCUCAGCUUCCUAAUCUACAGCAUGGGGAUAAUUACAGCACCCGCCCAUUAGGUUGUUGGGAGGCAUAUAUAAAUACCUCUUUGAAGUGCAUACAACAGUGUCUGGCAUGUAGUAAGUGCUAAAUAAUUGUUAGCUGUUGUUAUUUUAAACUUUUGAGCCUGGUGUUUUGUGUAAUAUUCACCCAUAUUAUAACACUUAAACAUUUUUUCCAGAUAUGAUUCCUAAAAAUGUUAAGGCCAUAAAGCAAUAGGUCAGAGUAAUAAAUUUCCCAGUAAAAACUUAUAUAUAAAUUAAUGAGCAGACCUCAAGCUGCCACAUUUCUAGGUAUGAUACACAUUCAUGAAGCCAGCUGGAAAAUGAUCCCCAGUCCCUGGUUAUCAGAGAAAAUUCAAUCGCCAAAUUAAAUCACCCUAUUUUUCCCUACCACAGAGUGUAAUAGUAGAUAGAAAAGUGUUUUCUGCAUUUUGUCAUCCAGUUUGAUGGCAGUCUUCUGAGUUUUUUGUUUUUUUUUUUGUUUUGUGUUUUUUAAAUCUGCCCCAUUGCGGAUCCCAAAGACUUGGCUUGGGUCACAGCUCUCAGCCUAGUUCUCUAAUUGAGCAGUAGAAAAUGGAUGGUUUGAUGCUUAAAAAGAAAAUGAAUAUUUGCUUUUCAUUUGAUGGAGGCAGAGACUUUGGGCACCAACUGGAAAGAAACCCUGUAUACAGAGGCUGAGGAAUUGAACUGUGAGGCAUGUUUGGUGCUUGGAUAUCUGGUAUGGCUUGAACAUAAGGACAAUAAGUCCGUUCACCUCUGCAAGGACUUCUAAUCCUUCUGUGACACCGGCAACACAAAGGAGAAAAGGACAGGUGCUCAGAAUGUCCUUUCAUCCAAGAUGGGGAUAUGGAGUGGUCGGAUCCCCUGAGGUCAGAACCAUGGACUCCACUGAUUGCUGAGAGGAAACAGGUGGGGUGGGAGGAUGGCUCAAUUAGGGGAAGCCCAAUGCAACCAUGUGGAGGAGGCUCAAAAUUUCCCUGGGGUGAGAGCCAGCCACUCUCCUUUAAGAGAGGAGUGGGAAUAGGCUUUUGAAAGAAAAAAUGUACAUACAUACAUAUAUGUGUGUGUGUGUUUCUCUAUGUGCAAACACUUGGCCCAAAACUUACUAUCUUCUGGGUGUAGCUAAUAUACACCAGGAGAUUCAGCCCCCAGACCUGGCUAGCUUCAUUCUUAGGGUUAUUAAGAAUAUCCCUUACUAGUUUUGAAAUACUCUCUGGUCACUGCUGCUUGAAACUGCACAACUACAGAUUAAUUUCUUUGGCUUAAAGGUUUUUAAUACAAAACUUGAAGAUAAUUCCAGCAACUCCACAGUCCCCUGCAGUUCCCCACUAGCAAGAAGCUGUUCUGUUAAUGGGACAUAUACUGGCUUUGGAAUCAAACUAACCUGCGUUAAAAACCCAGUCACACCACUAACUAGUUCUUUUUGCUGAUUCUUAACCAUUCUGAGAUAUAGUUUCCUUAUUGUUAAAACGAGAAUAAUAAGAGCCUCUUGAGGGUUUUUUUUUUUCUUUUUUCUGUGAAGUUUAGGUAUUAUAUAGCACAAGAAGCACCUAGCAGAAUGCCUGGCACAUACUAACCUCUCAAGUAGAGUCAUGUGAGCAGGUGAAGCAUUUCAUGGCAUGCACAUUUCAUAAUCCCUACACUGAUUCUUUUUGAGAAUAUGAUACACUAGGGAUCCAUAAUUUCUUUGUGGAACUAUUGGAGAAAAUCUCUCCUGAACUGCUUUCCAGACUGGCGUGGAGCCUUGGCUGUUAACCAUCACUUCUCCUGAAUAACCUCCCUGAUCUCUGGGCUCAGCCUGUGGAAAGUCCGCGGUGAAUAGAGCAGAGAUCCCAGGAAUAAUGGGCAGUGUUCCGCUGACCUCUGAAGUUGCGUACUGGAAAAAUGAGAACACAAUGGUGCACUGCUGGCUUCUCCCUGGGAACUGCCCUUCACCCUGCACAUGCAGAUCCCAACCUCCCCCAAGUCUUUUAUUUAGAAACCUUGUUUGUUGUCUUCUGGUUUCCCAUCACAUCUGGUUUUUGCCAAUUGGCUGUUGAUGGGAACAUGUGAACAAUGAUUUGCAUGUUAAUAAUCCCCAGAAUGCUGGUGGAUGGUCAUUAAAUAUUCUUAACUGUAAGAGUUGUGUGACACCUUCCAUGCCUCAUGAAAAGAUGUGGGGACAGAACUGCUCUAGACACUCUCAUACCUGUCUCAGGCUCUAGAAUCUGAUGACUUGGUCUCUCCUAGGUGAGACCAGCCCCUGCAGUUCUUUUAGUAAGGAUUGGUUUGCUUGAGGGAAGAGCUUGCCAGGAUCUGGAAUGCUUUUGUUAAAGGUAUUUGCUGUGGAGUUCAAACAUGCCCUAGUCAGGAGGGAGGCUGGGAUAGCUGUAUAUAUACAUCUGUCAGAAAUCAUUUUACGCCCCAAGCUAGCUCCAAACCUCUCUUCUCUGUUUCCUGAAAAUCUGUCUGAAGAUAAAUUCAUGAGAGCCUACCUUCAUGGGAUAUUUUAUGUCCACAGUUUCCAAUACACAUUCAAGCAGUAGUAGAACUAGCACAGAGUUUGGACUCAGACCUCAGUUUCAAUCUGAGACCUUCCCUAUAUGGUUACAUGGAUUUGAGCAUAUUAUCUAAAAUUUCUGAGCCUUAAAAAAAAUUUUUUUUUUACGUACUCCAGUUUGAGAUAGGACUGUAUGGUUGAAACAUUGAAUUCAUCUAACAAGAGACAUGAAAUGGUAGCUCCUUUUUGUGUUUUUCUUGAUUAUUUCCUUCACUGAUUCAUCCUAGUUUUGUAAAACAUACAAGCCCACAGACAUGUGCAUACAUUGCAGUUAACAUGAAGCAAUUAAACAAAAUAGAGAAUCGAGAACUCUUUCUGAAAGCCACUUUCUUCUCAGCCAAGGGCAAAUGGGUCUAUAAAGUAUUUUCUGUUGGAAGAACGGGCAUUUGUUUCCCAUCAUUUUUGGGUCUCACCGUUUUGCAAGUACAAUAUUAAUAGAAAUGAAUGCAAUAGCAAACAGACAUAAAGGAUUAUAGCAAUAGCAAUUACACAAUGCCCUUUCAAAGCUGGAUUUUAAGUCUUGCAGAUGUAGCCUAGAGGUCAGUGAGGCCCUCUUGCAAAAGCUGCCUUCACCAGACAUGGGAAUAAUUUCAUGCUGUUCCCUGCAGAACAAGACUGCAGGGUCCAGGGUCCUUACUAACUAAUGCCUGUCAACUCUGGGCCAUCUGAGAGGUACAAUCCCCUUUUACUCUUAAUAGUAUUUUCCCUGUUUCUUCCUACAACUUAUUUCAAUCUCAAGGUCUCACUGGCUAGAGUUUAUAAGGACAUGCAAAAUUAUUUACUGAAAGGCUAGGGUAAUUUCAGAGGUAUGUUAUAAUAUUGUAGAAAAAAAGAUAACAGAUAAAAUCAACUCAAUUUUCUAUCUGAGAGGAAAGCUCCCUAAGCCUUAGGUCUUUGCAGGGAGAUGGCUUUGCAUGUGAGUUGCCUUCAUUUCCAACCAGGCUCUCCGGCCAUGGGAUUUAUAUAUAUACUCCACAUACCCUUUUUCAGUCCCUCACUCUGAUAAUGCUAACAAUUUCCUUGAGAAAUCAUCAUUUCUUUCAUAGCAGUCUCUCCCCUUUUGCAGUAUCCUGGGCUUUAGCCAAGAGGCCAUUACUACUUGCUGUUCUCCAAAGUGGGAGCAGGAUAAAGAAGCAUGGACUUCUGUCCUAUGAGGGAGAAUAAGCGUGAAUACAAAUCAAAUUUCUUUUCAAACUUGCCAACAUUGACAUGCUGGUUUCCUUACUAGUUGAGGUAUCAAAUAUUUUCUCCUAAUCCUACUAAUAUCUUGAGGAUGCAGAUUCGAUCCCUGGCCCUGCUCAUUGGAUUGGGGAUCCAGUGUUGCCUUAAGCUGUGCCCUAGGUCAUAGAUGUGGUUCGGAUCCCACGUUGUUGUGGCUGUGGUGGAGGCCAGCAGCUGCAGUUCAGAUUUGACCCCUAGCCUAGGAACUUCAAAAUGCCAUGGAUGUGGCCUUAACAAGAAAAAUUAUUUAUUUAUUUUUCAUCGAAGACAUGACCAUGUAUGUUAAUGAAAGAAUGUCUUCUCUUAUCAAAGCACAGUUCUUGUUCUUUGAAACAAUAGUUUUCACUUUUUUUCCUGGAGGAGUGUUUGUUUGUCCCUGCUGACCUUGAAUCAGCUUUUGCUGGUGUUAAUAAAAUAGUUUAAUAGCUAUUCUCCUGUUUAAUCAAGGUAUGGGACUAGUUUCUGUGAAAUUAUUUUGAUGAAGAAUCAUCCUGUGAUGUUACCUCCUCCGCAAUACUUAGUUUCCAAUGUAAUAUUAACUUUGAUUGGAUAGGUAACCUCUG
rnacentral:lncRNA from 1 species